GGUUAGGGUUAGGGUUAGGGUUAGGGUUAGGGUUAGGGUUAGGGUUAGGGUUAGGGUUAGGGUUAGGGUUAGGGUUAGGGUUAGGGUUAGGGUUAGGGUUAGGCAACGGGUUAGGCAACGGGUUAGGCAACGGGUUAGGCAACGGGUUAGGCAACGGGUUAGGCAACGGGUUAGGCAACGGGUUAGGCAACGGGUUAGGCAACGGGUUAGGCAACGGGUUAGGCAACGGGUUAGGCAACGGGUUAGGCAACGGGUUAGGCAACGGGUUAGGGUUAGGCAACGGGUUAGGGUUAGGGUUAGGGUUAGGCAACGGGUUAGGGUUAGGCAACGGGUUAGGGUUAGGCAACGGGUUAGGGUUAGGCAACGGGUUAGGGUUAGGCAACGGGUUAGGGUUAGGCAACGGGUUAGGGUUAGGGUUAGGGUUAGGGUUAGGGUUAGGGUUAGGGUUAGGGUUAGGGUUAGGGUUAGGGUUAGGGUUAGGGUUAGGGUUAGGGUUAGGGUUAGGGUUAGGGUUAGGGUUAGGGUUAGGGUUAGGGUUAGGGUUAGGGUUAGGGUUAGGGUUAGGGUUAGGCAACGGGUUAGGCAACGGGUUAGGGUUAGGGUUAGGGUUAGGGUUAGGGUUAGGGUUAGGGUUAGGGUUAGGGUUAGGGUUAGGGUUAGGGUUAGGGUUAGGGUUAGGGUUAGGGUUAGGGUUAGGGUUAGGGUUAGGGUUAGGGUUAGGGUUAGGGUUAGGGUUAGGGUUAGGGUUAGGGUUAGGGUUAGGGUUAGGGUUAGGGUUAGGGUUAGGGUAAGGGUUAGGGUUAGGGUUAGGGUUAGGGUUAGGGUUAGGGGUAGGGUUAGGGUUAGGGUUAGGGUUAGGGUUAGGGUUAGGGUUAGGGUUAGGGUUAGGGUUAGGGUUAGGGUUAGGGUUAGGGUUAGGGUUAGGGUUAG
rnacentral:lncRNA from 1 species